UUUACUCACAAAGUUGAAUUUCCUGCCAGUAAGUAUUCUUAGACACUAGAAUGAGUUUCUAAGACAGAUUAGGCAUUGUCCUUGGCGGUCCUCAGCACAGUAAAUUCCUGAGGGCUUUAAGAGUUUAGGUGUGGCCCGAGAGCUGAGGGGAUGGGCAAAACAUAUUUCCAAGAUUCCUUCCAACCCUAGGACUCUGUUUCCAUCUACCCACCAAUUAUGGCUCUAAUUAUUUUUCUUGUCCUCUUUUGCCCCUAGUUAAACCUUAUGAUGAGCAAGAAAAAAGUGGUUUGAUUAUAGUCUCCUUAAGGAACCAAUGAAGCUUCCCCACAGCGUGAUGGAGAGGAAAGUUUCUAAGAUGGAAGCCUACAUUAGCAACUUGAGACCUUUCUUUUCUAAUGGACUGCAUUUCAAGGCUUGCAGGAGAUCAGCUCCAUCAGGGGACCUUCACUAAGGAGAACACCUGCUCAACCACCUGCAGUGCAAGUGCGGUCGGAGAGGAAUCCCUUUUCCUCCGCUCCAUCCUCACCCCUGCUCGUCUCUGAAGACUCUCAGCAGACACUGGAGAGGAACACGGCUACAUACUAGAAGAGUCUCUCCUGUCUUCUAUUUCCAGAGUGGCCCUAUUAUGGAACUAAGCCAAUGGACUUUGAAGAUUUUGCUGCCUGUUUUGGCAUUAUCUCCAUAGAUUCACCACGGCUUCGUCCUUCCCUGGGCCUGCCUACUCUACUCAACAUUCCACCUCUUCCUAUGUCACAUGUA
rnacentral:lncRNA from 10 species